rnacentral:lncRNA from 1 species
GGGACGUGGGUUCGAAUCCCACCGCUGCCAGCGGGGCCCGGCGCCCACUUUUGUGCCCCCCCUCUCUCUAAAGGUCCUGGGGGGGCGUCACGGGGUGUGUGGGGGGAGUCCCCACUUUUGUGUCCCCUCCCCCUCCCCAAGGUCAUGGUGGGGUCACACGCAGAGACAGGUGCACACCAAAAAAAGUGAAACUCAGUAAAACCUUUUAUUUCCCCCGAAAGCAAAAUUACAACAAUUUCUCCCCAAAUACAUGAAUCAAAGUAAAUGAUGGGGGAGGGGAAGGUAAAAAAAGGACCCCCCCCACCCAAAAAUCACCACCACCAUUGCCGGGGGGUGCCCCUCAACUCCCCCCCCCCAUCACCCUCAUCCCUAUCUCCCACUCAUUAACUAACGACACCCCUCAAUUAACACCCAUUCCCACACCCUCCCCCCCCUUCCAAUUCCCACAGGGCCGCGUCCGCGGCCCCGCCCUGCCCCACACUUGGGGGUCAGCCCCACAACCUGAGGAGGCCCCCCCUGCUCAGUUGUCGUCGUCGCUGUCGUCGGGGCUGAUGGCUGGGCUGGUCAGGCUGUAGGUGGGCGACGUGGGGCUGUAGCCCGGCGAUGUGGGGCUGUAGUUGGGGGAUGUGGGGCUGUAGUUGGGGGAUGUGGGGCUGUAGCUGGGCGAAGUCGGGCUGUAGCUCGGGCUGGUGGGGCUGUAGCUGGGAGAAGUGGGGCUGUAACUGGGUGAGGUUGGGCUGUAGCUGGGAGAAGUCGGGCUGUAGCUGGGUGAUGUGGGGCUGUAGCUGGGCGAAGUUGGGCUGUAACUUGGAGAAGUCGGGCUGUAGCUGGGCGAGGUCGGGCUGUAGCUGGGUGAGGUCGGGCUGUAGCUGGGCGAAGUUGGGCUGUAGCUGGGCGAGGUGGGGCUGUAGCUGGGCGAGGUGGGGCUGUAGCUGGGAGAAGUCGGGCUGUAGCUGGGCGAAGUCGGGCUGUAGUUGGGGCUGGUGGGGCUGUAGCUGGGUGAGGUCGGGCUGUAGCUCGGAGAGGUGGGGCUGUAGCUGGGGCUCUGCGGGGUGUAGCCCCCGGGAGACCGCGGCUCAUAGGCAGGUGACGUAGGGCUGUAGCUGGGGGACAUGGCCCCACCUGCAAAACCACGAGGCAGAGUGGGGGUGAGCAGGAAUCCAGGGGGGAGGUCCCAGGAUUGGGGGUCCCCAGGGGGAGCACUGACCUGGGGAGGGGAUGUAGGGGCUGGAGGGCCCCGGGGAUCCGGGGGAGCCGGGGGUGGGUGACCAGGCAGGCGAGUAACCGGGGCUGAAACCGCUGGCGUCUGAAGCGGCACUGGGGGAGA